rnacentral:rRNA from 1 species
CAGUAGCCGCGGUAAUACAGAGGAUGCAAGCGUUAUCCGGAAUGAUUGGGCGUAAAGCGUCUGUAGGUGGCUUUUCAAGUCCGCCGUCAAAUCCCAGGGCUCAACCCUGGACGGGCGGUGGAAACUACCAAGCUGGAGUACGGUAGGGGCAGAGGGAAUUUCCGGUGGAGCGGAGAAAUGCGUAGAUAUUAGGAAGAACACCAGUGGCGAAGGCGGCUUUCUGGACGAAAACUGACGCUGAGGCGCGAAGGCCAGGGGAGCGAACGGGAUUAGAUACCCCUGUAGUCCCUGUCUCUUAUAC